rnacentral:rRNA from 1 species
CACGUAGGAGGCGAGCGUUGUCCGGAAUCAUUGGGCGUAAAGAGCGCGCAGGCGGCUUGGCAAGUCGGGUGUGAAAUCCCGGGGCUCAACCCCGGGACUGCAUUCGAUACUGUCAGGCUAGAGGUAGGUAGGGGAGAUCGGAAUUCCUGGUGUAGCGGUGAAAUGCGUAGAUAUCUGGAGGAACACCGGUGGCGAAGGCGGCAUCCUGGACCGGCAUUGACGCUGAGGAGCGAAAGCCAGGGGAGCAAACGGG